UGGAGCAUGUGGUUUAAUUCGAUGCAACGCGAAGAACCUUACCUGGUCUUGACAUAGUAAGAACUUUCCAGAGAUGGAUUGGUGCCUUCGGGAACUUACAUACAGGUGCUGCAUGGCUGNCGUCAGCUCGUGUCGUGAGAUGUUGGGUUAAGUCCCGCAACGAGCGCAACCCUUUUCCUUAUUUGCNNNCGGGUUAAGCCGGGAACUUUAAGGAUACUGCCAGUGACNAACUGGAGGAAGGCGGGGACGACGUCNAGUCAUCAUGGCCCCUUACGACCAGGGCUACACACGUGCUACAAUGGUCGGUACAAAGGGUUGCUACUNCNNGAGAGGAUGCUAAUCUCNAAAAGCCGAUCGUAGUCCGGAUUGGAGUCUGCAACUCGACUCCAUGAAGUCGGAAUCGCUAGUAAUCGCGGAUCAGAAUGCCGCGGUGAAUACGUUCCCGGGCCUUGUACACACCGCCCGUCACACCAUGGGAGUUUGUUGCACCAGAAGUAG
rnacentral:rRNA from 1 species